UUGGAGGGCAAGUCUGGUGCCAGCAGCCGCGGUAAUUCCAGCUCCAAUAGCGUAUAUUAAAGUUGUUGCAGUUAAAAAGCUCGUAGUUGAAUUUCGGAAUCAAUAUGUUGGUCGUGCCAUUGGUACGUACUGGCAUUAUUGGUUUCUACCUUCUGAAGAACCUCGAUGUCAUUAAUUUGGUGUCUUGGGGAAUCAGGACUGUUACUUUGAAAAAAUUAGAGUGCUUAAAGCAGGCUCGCGCUUGAAUACAUUAGCAUGGAAUAAUGAAAUAGGACGUUUGAUUCUAUUUUGUUGGUUUCUAGGAUCGACAUAAUGAUUAAUAGGGAUAGUUGGGGGCAUUAGUAUUCAAUUGUCAGAGGUGAAAUUCUUGGAUUUAUUGAAGACUAACUACUGCGAAAGCAUUUGCCAAGGAUGUUUUCAUUAAUCAAGAACGAAAGUUAGGGGAUCAAAGACGAUCAGAUACCGUCGUAGUCUUAACCAUAAACUAUGCCGACUAGGGAUCGGAUGAUGUUAAUUUUUUAAUGACUCAUUCGGCACCUUACGGGAAAC
rnacentral:rRNA from 1 species